rnacentral:pre_miRNA from 1 species
AGUAGGAUAGCUGGGUCAAAUGGUGGUUCCAUUCCAAGAUUUCUAAGGAAUCUCCAUAGUGUUUUUCAGAUUGGUUCUACCAAUGUGUAGUCUCACCAGCAAU